UUGUAAGGUGGCUGAUAAUAGGCGGUGGAUUGUAAUUCCAUUUAUGGGGUGUGAGCCCUCUCUUUACA
rnacentral:tRNA from 1 species